AAUAGUAAGGGAAUAAAGAGUGUGGCAAAGGAGGAGGGUUUUAGAGAACCCAAUUCACUUUACAGACUUAAACUCUUUUUUUUGGGUUGUUUUUCCAAGUUUACCUUGCCAUCAACAACUUCACAUACACACAUAUAUAUAGUCGUAGAGUGGUGAAAGAGCAGCACCAGCAGCAGCAAAAGCUUAAACUCUCAACAAUGGUGGACGUCACCGUCGAGAAGACUGAAGAGGAGCUCCGCAAAGAGCUUGAAGCUUUGCAGCGUCAACAACGCGAGAGCGUAUUAGGGAUCCAAAAGGGCUUCGUCGUGGAGGUUUUUCUGGGAAUUCUCCCAGAAAUUUUGGUCCCAAUCAACGUGGUUUUGUCAGACCUAUUGAUAGGACGAAUUUGAAGGAUGAACCUCCUGCCAAGCGUCGAUUGUGUUCUGCAGUUGUUAAGGUGGAUGGUGAUGGGGAAGUGGCUGAAGGGAAAAAUCCUGUUAGUGGAGAGCAAAAUGAGGGUUCAGCUGCUGCUGUCUUGGUUUCGUUUAGCAAGAAUGAUCAAAGGUCUUCUGUUCUGCAGCAAAGUCGAUUAGGUUCUGCGAAAAACAGUGAUUUACGGGCAGAUAAUGGAGCUGAUCAUCAAGUAAAGGAACCUAGAGUUUUGCCUAAAG